rnacentral:rRNA from 1 species
GACGGAAGGUGCAAGCGUUGCUCGGAAUCACUGGGCGUAAAGGGUGCGUAGGCGGCCGUGCAAGUCUGGCGUGAAAGCCCCGGGCUCAGCCCGGGAAGUGCGCUCGAAACUGCGCGGCUCGAGUGCCGGAGGGGAGAGUGGAAUUCCUGGUGUAGCGGUGAAAUACGCAGAUAUCAGGAGGAACACCGAUCGCGAAGGCAGCUCGCUGGGACGUAACUGACGCUGAGACGCGAAAGCGUGGGGAGCAAACAGG